GGUGGAACUGAAGGCUCUAGGCAAAGCAGAAGUGAGAAGAGUCGAAAAGCAAUGUUGAAGCUGAGACUAAAUUUAUUGGUUCGUAGCUUUCAUCACUCCUCCCCAACAGUUUGUCGUCCUCAACUUUUCUGCCACCAUACGUCCCCAAAAUUUAUUGGUUCGUAACUAUUGCUCUUUGUUUAAGGUUUUUCUCAGUGAAAUUUAGGGUUUUGUUCUUGUUU
rnacentral:lncRNA from 1 species